GACGAACGCUGGCGGCGUGCCUAAUACAUGCAAGUCGAGCGAACAGACGAGGAGCUUGCUCCUCUGACGUUAGCGGCGGACGGGUGAGUAACACGUGGAUAACCUACCUAUAAGACUGGGAUAACUUCGGGAAACCGGAGCUAAUACCGGAUAAUAUAUUGAACCGCAUGGUUCAAUAGUGAAAGACGGUUUUGCUGUCACUUAUAGAUGGAUCCGCGCCGCAUUAGCUAGUUGGUAAGGUAACGGCUUACCAAGGCAACGAUGCGUAGCCGACCUGAGGGGGUGAUCGGCCACACUGGAACUGAGACACGGUCCAGACUCCUACGGGAGGCAGCAGUAGGGAAUCUUCCGCAAUGGGCGAAAGCCUGACGGAGCAACGCCGCGUGAGUGAUGAAGGUCUUCGGAUCGUAAAACUCUGUUAUUAGGGAAGAACAAAUGUGUAAGUAACUAUGCACGUCUUGACGGUACCUAAUCAGAAAGCCACGGCUAACUACGUG
rnacentral:rRNA from 1 species